CAGAAUAUAGCUAAAUUAGAAAAGCAUUUCACUUACACCGAAAAACUAUCCGUGCAAAUCGGAUUAUUCUGA
rnacentral:tRNA from 1 species